GAUGAACGCUGACAGAAUGCUUAACACAUGCAAGUCGAUGGGGAAGUGGUGCUUGCACCAUGGUAACCAUGGCGGACGGGUGAGUGACGCGUAAGGAACUUGCCUGCGGGACUGGGAUAACAGCAGGAAACUGCUGAUAAUACCGGAUAAGGUCAUUAAGCUGCAUAGCUUAGUGAUGAAAGGAGACGCCUGCGGAGAGCCUUGCGUCCUAUUAGCUAGUUGGAGGGGUAACGGCCCACCAAGGCGAAGAUAGGUAGCCGGCCUGAGAGGGUGGACGGCCACAAGGGGACUGAGAUACGGCCCUUACUCCUACGGGAGGCAGCAGUGGGGAAUAUUGGACAAUGGGGGCAACCCUGAUCCAGCAAUUCUGUGUGCACGAAGACGGUUUUCGGAUUGUAAAGUGCUUUCAGCAGGGAAGAAGGAAGUGACGGUACCUGCAGAAGAAGCGACGGCUAAAUACGUG
rnacentral:rRNA from 1 species